rnacentral:sRNA from 1 species
CGCCUAACCCUUAGGAUUUCCUAAGGUAUGGUGAAAAUCCCGCUAGAGCGCAAAGGACUCCCAGUCCAGAGUCGCUCUAGCGGGUCGUGUCCCGAAAGGGAUAUGGGUCGGGCCGCAAGGUUCGAUC